rnacentral:rRNA from 1 species
GAUGAACGCUAGCUACAGGCUUAACACAUGCAAGUCGAGGGACCGGCGCACGGGUGAGUAACGCGUAUCCAACCUGCCCAUCACUUGGGGAUAACCUUGCGAAAGUAAGACUAAUGCCCAAUGGUGAUGGAUGGGGAUGCGUCUGAUUAGCUUGUUGGCGGGGUAACGGCCCACCAAGGCGACGAUCAGUAGGGGUUCUGAGAGGAAGGUCCCCCACAUUGGAACUGAGACACGGUCCAAACUCCUACGGGAGGCAGCAGUGAGGAAUAUUGGUCAAUGGGCGAGAGCCUGAACCAGCCAAGUAGCGUGCAGGAUGACGGCCUAUGGGUUGUAAACUGCUUUUAUAGGGGAAUAUGUACCCUAUGAAUAAGGACCGGCUAAUUCCGUGCCAGCAGCCGCGGUAAUACGGAAGGUCCGGGCGUUAUCCGGAUUUAUUGGGUUUAAAGGGAGCGUAGGCCGGAGAUUAAGCGUGUUGUGAAAUGUAGAUGCUCAACAUCUGAACUGCAGCGCGAACUGGUUUCCUUGAGUACGCAUAAAGUGGGCGGAAUUCGUGGUGUAGCGGUGAAAUGCUUAGAUAUCACGAAGAACUCCGAUUGCGAAGGCAGCUC